GACGAACGCUGGCGGCGUGCUUAACACAUGCAAGUCGAGCGGAAAGGCCACUUCGGUGGUACUCGAGCGGCGAACGGGUGAGUAACACGUGAGUAAUCUGCCCUUGGCUUUGGGAUAGCCACCGGAAACGGUGAUUAAUACCGGAUAUGACCACUCUAGGCAUCUAGUGGUGGUGGAAAGUUUUUCGGCCAGGGAUGUGCUCGCGGCCUAUCAGCUUGAUGGUGAGGUAAUGGCUCACCAUGGCUUCGACGGGUAGCCGGCCUGAGAGGGUGACCGGUCACACUGGGACUGAGACACGGCCCAGACUCCUACGGGAGGCAGCAGUGGGGAAUAUUGGACAAUGGGCGGAAGCCUGAUCCAGCAACGCCGCGUGUGGGAUGACGGCCUUCGGGUUGUAAACCUCUUUCAGCAGGGACGAAGCGCGAGUGACGGUACCUGCAGAAGAAGCACCGGCCAACUACGUGCCAGCAGCCGCGGUAA
rnacentral:rRNA from 1 species